AGGACGAACGCUGGCGGCGUGCUUAACACAUGCAAGUCGAGCGGAAAGGCCCUUCGGGGUACUCGAGCGGCGAACGGGUGAGUAACACGUGAGUAAUCUGCCCCUAGCUCUGGGAUAGCUCCGGGAAACCGGGAUUAAUACCAGAUACGACCACUUUAGACAUCUGUUGUGGUGGAAAGAAUUUUGGCUAGGGAUGAGCUCGCGGCCUAUCAGCUUGUUGGUGAGGUAACGGCUCACCAAGGCGACGACGGGUAGCCGGCCUGAGAGGACGAUCAGCCACACUGGGACUGAGACACGGCCCAGACUCCUACGGGAGGCAGCAGUUAGGAAUUUUCCGCAAUGGGCGAAAGCCUGACGGAGCAACGCCGCGUGAGUGAUGAAGACCUUCGGUUGUAAGCUCUGUCGGAGGGGAAGAACGACAAUGACGGUACCUCCAAGAAGACCCGGCUAACUACGUGCCAGCAGCCGC
rnacentral:rRNA from 1 species